UCUUGGUUAGCUCAGUUGGCAGAGCUCUCCGCUGGAAAUGGAGAUCCCUGGUUCAAUACCAAGACCAGGCG
rfam:Ixodes scapularis strain Wikel colony gcontig_1108379460535, whole genome shotgun sequence.